CCUACGGGCGGCUGCAGUGAGGAAUAUUGGUCAAUGGGCGCAAGCCUGAACCAGCCAUCCCGCGUGCAGGAUGACGGCCCUAUGGGUUGUAAACUGCUUUUAUACACCAAGAAAAAACAGGACGAGUCCUGGUCUGACGGUAGUGUAUGAAUAAGCAUCGGCUAACUCCGUGCCAGCAGCCGCGGUAAUACGGAGGAUGCAAGCGUUAUCCGGAUUCAUUGGGUUUAAAGGGUGCGUAGGCGGCUUUUUAAGUCAGUGGUGAAAUCUUGCCGCUUAACGGUAAAAUUGCCAUUGAUACUGACAAGCUUGAGUACAGUUGAGGUAAGCGGAAUGUGUAGUGUAGCGGUGAAAUGCUUAGAUAUUACACAGAACACCGAUUGCGAAGGCAGCUUACUAAACUGUUACUGACGCUGAUGCACGAAAGCGUGGGGAGCGAACAGGCUUAGAUACCCCUGUAGUC
rnacentral:rRNA from 1 species